rnacentral:lncRNA from 1 species
UUUAAACUGCACGGUUUAAGAGCAUGGUCCGCAUUAAAAAAAAUAUAAGGGUGCCCUCACUUGAGAAUAAUUAUAUAUUAGUUCUUAUCUAGUACAGGCACCCUUAUUUUUUUUUCAUAUGGGCACGCUUUUAAAUCAUAGGGUUUAAAAGAGUUAGUUUUUAACUCCUAUAAACCGAACAACUUUAUAAUUCAUUAAAAAAAAUCUCUUAAAUGACACGGUUUAAGAGCGUGUCUGCAUUAAAAAAAAUGAGCGUGUUAGCACCUAAGAACAAUUAUAUAUAAAUAUAUAUUAAACAAAUAUUAAUAGCGUGUGAUAAAUAUAAUCUUUACAUAUGAUUUUGAUAAAAAUAACAAACAUAUUAUAGGUGUUUAUUCAUACGUAUGUGAGAGAAAAUUAACUUUUACUUCCAAACUAUUGUGACAAAUAUUUAUUAAACAUUUAAAUAUUAUAUCUUUUAAGUUACAGCUUUUCAACUGCAACACCAAUCAUAUCAUAUCUUUAAGUUUCUUCAAUCACAACUCAAUCAAACUAUGAAGUAAAAGACUCUUUGAAUAAUUGAAUAUCAUACGACCCCUUUUGGGUUGUACUAUUUUAUAUGAUAAUGAUGUUUUCUCCUAUUACCUUGUCACCCUUUUGUUUUCUUUUAAGCUCAACAACCGGAAAAUUCUAUGAAAGGGUGUCAUUACGUACAAAAUGGGGUGCCCGGCCUAUUUAGGUCCACCUCUGAUUACCUGUUUGUGUGGGUUACUACCAUACAGAUAAUGUUAAUUACCUAUUUGUGAGGGUUAGUACCUUAAAGAUUAUGUUAUGAAAGCCAAGCUUUGGGCUAAAGUUAGUUCAAACGUCAAGGGUCACUAGGAUUUUCGGUUCAUGAUGACUAUAAUUGUUAGGCUUAAAAGAAGAAAAACAAUUUUUUUUUUUAAAUAAAUCAUUCGUAUAGUACUAACCUUCAAUUACGAUUUACUAAUAAAGAACUUGUAUUAAGAAAAAUAAGAUCAUCAGUAGCAUAUGUCUAAUCAGUAAUCGAAAUGGAUUGAAAUAAAAAUCCGACCAAAUUAUUUAUUUGUACUACAUGAAUUAGAAUAAGAAUAAUUUGUGUUCUCAUUAAUGAGUUUUUUUUUUUGGGAAUCGAAAUCAAAAUUGUUACAAUUUAUUAAAAAGCACUUAGUUAACUAUUGUCAUCAUUAUUAGUCAUUAUAUUAACAAUAAUACUAAUACUUGCUUAGUCAAAAUAAUUAGUUUGUAACACAAUUGAUUGUCAAAUGAUGUGUACUAAAUGAUUGAUUCAAAUGAUAGAUAAUUAAUAUGAUCUUUGGUCUGUUCACAGACAAUUAAUUCUUUUUGAGCAAUUUGCUUGUUUAUAUUUUAAGCACCAUCUAAAGCAAGGCCAUGAUCUUUAUUUUCUUCAUUUCUACAUAACAAUAUUUUUUUAACCAAAUGGUCUACUACGCUUCAGGCAUGCCGUAGACAAUUCCUCGAUAUUGGAUUUUCAUGUCGCUUCAAGGGCUAGUGUCUCCUCAGGGACUUCCAUUGCUCCAAGGACUUACGUCUCUUUAUGGAUUUUCAACACUUCAAAGAGUUGUAUCUGUUGGAUUUUUAAUCCAAUAAUGUUGGAUCCUUAAUCCAACGUUGAGCUUAUUUGUGAAUAAUUAUGUGUUGUGGACUGUCAUAUAAGGUUAAGCUCAAUUAAAAGUGAUCUAUUUAGGUUUUCAGUAUUAUGGGCUUUAAUGUAUCUAAUAAGGUGUUAGCUUUUAAUGCGUAGAGACUCAAUAAUAUUAUAAUUCUAUGACGGGCAGAAUUAAAAAUACCCAGUGACAAUAGGAAAAUGUUGUCUAUAUAAGUGGCUGGUCCCCAUGUCACACAUAUCUUUUUAUUCUUUCUGAAAUCUCAUUGUCAGAGAGAGACCCUGAGAAAAACUUAAAGGAUUCUCUAAGAGAACAUAUAGAUCUGGAAGGCCAACCACACAACCCUAUAGAGGAAUUAACCGUUAUGGAUUCAUGUACACUUAAGCAUAAUUUUAUUAUUAAUUCUUGGUGAUACAACAUAAAUGUUCAUGUGUUAUAAUUGAUGGUUUUCACCAAAGGUUUUCUUGCCCCAACAGUAUCACUUAAGAGACACAUAUUUCUUUGGAGACUUUUUUUUCUUUAGAAACUUCUAUCUCUCUGGAGACUUUGUCUCUUCUAGGACAUGUUCAUAUAGGACAUGUCUCUUUAGAGACGUCUUUACUAUGACCAUUAGUUCAUUUGGAACCAGUGAUUAAUGGGAAUUUUAAUUGCUCGAGCAUUAUUUGCAACAGAAUCUUCUUUUGAGGAAUUGUAUUUUUAGAAACAAGUGAUUUGCCACACUUUUGACAUGUAGCAGACGUUUCAUUAUCUAUCUUUACACUUGAUUAUUCGAUAGGAACAAUCACCUUAGUUAAUGUAAUAACAUCUCUAAUAUGUAACUUGGUUACGUUUUCUGCAUUUAGUAAUGCAUCAAGUGAUUGAUUUGCAAUUUUGUUGUAAAUGAACUAUCUUUCAUAGUUCAUUUUCACAUUGACUGGUACAAAGAUCUAAAUAAAACAUAAUAAAGAAAUAAAUGUAUUGAGAUAUAUUGUGCCUUAAGGUUAUCUUAGGUGCUAAUUAACUUAGUUCUUGUGUGGUAUUGAGGUAUUGUGCUUUUUCAGGUGUUGUAGAAAAAAAUUAUAGUUAAGAAAUAAAAAUUGAUAGUGCAUUUAAUUAGGACUUUUAAAAAAUAAUUUUAAUAAAAACAGUAAAUAUGUUAUAGGUUUUCAUUGUAUAAAUGUGAGAAAAAAUCAACUUAUUAUUUAUUCCCAACUAUAAUAAUAAGUAUUUACCAAAUAUUUGGCCGAGAAGGCCUCAAAGUCUUCGUCAACCACAGCUUUCAUCCAACUGUAUUAUUUUUGUUGCCUCUUGAGGGCUUUGUUGUGGUGCUAAUUGACUUGAAGUCUUCGAUCAUCAGCCACAUAAUCCCAAUAUGACCUAAAAGACUUCUGUUGUAUGAUAAAGAUGUUUCUUCAAUUAUUUCGCCUCCCUUUUGUUUUCUUUUAAGCUCAAAAGCCAGAAAAUUCUUGGAAAAGCUUGUGAUUGGUGAACUUUUGUCCACACGUGAGGGCUCUUUAGGGAAUUUCGUUUGAUGAUGACUAUUGUUAAGCAUAAAAGAAGACUAGAAAUCAUUCGUAAUAGUUAGGAUAGUUUACUAACCUUCGUUUACAAAUUUUAAUAAUAUAAAGGGUAAAAGCUCAUUUAGUCCAUGUAUUUUAAGAUUAGUGUCCAUUUAGUCCCUGUAUUUUAAAAAAUACCUCGAAAUAUUCCUGUUGUUAAAGUAUUGAUACCCCUACUGUUACUUUUUAUUUCUUUUGGCUUACUUUUAUAAUAUUACCCUUUUAUAAUAAUUUUUUUGUUUGGACAUUAAUAAAAAGAAAAUAAUUAAAUUACCAAUU